rnacentral:rRNA from 1 species
AGGACGAACGCUGGCGGCGUGCAUAACACAUGCAAGUCACGGGGGCCAGUAGCAAUACUAGCAACCGGCGAACGGGUGCGUAACACGUAAGCGACCUACCUCGAUGUGGGGCAUAGCCGGCCUAACGGCCGGGUAAUUCCGCAUGUGAUCCUUGAGGGGCAUAUCUCGGGGAUGAAACCAGUAAUGGGCAUUGAGAGGGGCUUGCGGCCUAUCAGCUUGUUGGUGAGGUAACGGCUCACCAAGGCUACGACGGGUAGCU